rnacentral:rRNA from 1 species
UAGGGAAUCUUCGGCAAUGGGGGGAACCCUGACCGAGCAACGCCGCGUGAGUGAAGAAGGUUUUCGGAUCGUAAAGCUCUGUUGUUAAGGAAGAACGAGUGUGAGAAUGGAAAGUCCAUACUGUGACGGUACUUAACCAGAAAGGGACGGCUAACUACGUGCCAGCAGCCGCGGUAAUACGUAGGUCCCGAGCGUUGUCCGGAUUUAUUGGGCGUAAAGCGAGCGCAGGCGGUUAGAUAAGUCUGAAGUUAAAGGCAGUGGCUCAACCAUUGUAGGCUUUGGAAACUGUUUAACUUGAGUGCAGAAGGGGAGAGUGGAAUUCCAUGUGUAGCGGUGAAAUGCGUAGAUAUAUGGAGGAACACCGGUGGCGAAAGCGGCUCUCUGGUCUGUAACUGACGCUGAGGCUCGAAAGCGUGGGGAGCGAACAGG